rnacentral:rRNA from 1 species
UACGUAGGGGGCAAGCGUUGUCCGGAAUCAUUGGGCGUAAAGAGCGUGUAGGCGGUUCGGUAAGUCGGCUGUGAAAGUCCAGGGCUCAACCCUGGGAUGCCGGUCGAUACUGCCGGACUAGAGUUCGGAAGAGGCGAGUGGAAUUCCCCGGUGUAGCGGUGAAAUGCGCAGAUAUCGGGAGGAACACCUAUGGCGAAGGCAGCUCGCUGGGACGUUACUGACGCUGAGACGCGAAAGCGUGGGGAGCAAACAGGAUUAGAUACC